AUCCAUCGUUCACAUGAUUUCUGCUUUCAAUCACUGACCUCAGUGGUCAUGUGUCAUUCAUUCACACAUGACCACCGAAGUCAUUGAUUGGCAGUAGUGGUCAGUCAGGAGAACGAUGGAUGUGACACCAUCUAUGUGGGAAGGUGUGGGUUCAGAGCAACUCUGAAGCUGCAGGACAUGUAUAAGGUAAGCCUGGUUUUACACAACCCCCAGCUCUGAGUCAAACUUUUAAAAUCUCAUAAUAUCUUCAUCAUGAUUCCUCUCAUGUCAUUGUCUCCAUCUCUUUAAGGCUCAUCCUCUUCCUCUAUUUCCUUUAUGUCUAUUGUACAUUACAGUAAAGUAUAGGAUAAAAGCUUUUUCUCGAUUUGGUCAAGAUUCCAUUGGUUUCCUCCAACGUCUCUCUCAA